GAUGAACGCUGGCGGCGUGCCUAAUACAUGCAAGUCGAGCGAACUGACGAGAAGCUUGCUUUUCUGAUGUUAGCGGCGGACGGGUGAGUAACACGUGGAUAACCUACCUAUAAGACUGGGAUAACUUCGGGAAACCGGAGCUAAUACCUGAUAAUAUUUUGAACCGCAUGGUUCAAAAGUGAAAGACGGUCUUGCUGUCACUUAUAGAUGGAUCCGCGCUGCAUUAGCUAGUUGGUAAGGUAACGGCUUACCAUGGCAACGAUGCAUAGCCGACCUGAGAGGGUGGUCGGCCACACUGGAACUGAGACACGGUCCAGACUCCUACGGGAGGCAGCAGUAGGGAAUCUUCCGCAAUGGGCGAAAGCCUGACGGAGCAACGCCGCGUGAGUGAUGAAGGUCUUCGGAUCGUAAAACUCUGUUAUUAGGGAAGAACAUAUGUGUAAGUAACUGUGCACAUCUUGACGGUACCUAAUCAGAAAGCCACGGCUAACUACGUG
rnacentral:rRNA from 1 species